UCCUGAGAUCUUAUCAGGAAGCUGCUGAUCACCAGCUUCAGGUGUUUCUAUUUAUUGGGAGACUGUCUUUCCCUGGCACCAGCUGCAACCAAUGAUUACUUUAGAGAGACAGUUUAACAACUGCCUGACCAUCACCUGAUGGUCAUCUGACAUUCCCAGGACUCCAGAUAAGAGCCCAGGCCAAAGGACACCUUGAUUUUGACCUUGUCAGACCUGGAGUUGAAAAACCAGCUGCACCCUUCUAGAAUUCUUACUUACAAAACUGGAGAUGUUACAAGACAAGAUGAUUUCACUGGAAGCUGAGUUUUGCCAGCUUUGGGGAAAUGCUGAUGCAGAACAUCAUUUAUUUAAGGCUGAUACUCAUGGAUAGAAGAGUCAAAGUGCGAAUAUAUGCACCCUUCUAUACGGAUUCUGCAGAAAGAUAUGCUUGGGUCAUGACUCAGCUAUUUACAAAGUUGCUGGUGACUAAUUGCUGGAAAGAAGCUGGGACGUUCUGUGGCCCCUCCAUUUUAUAUCCCCUCCCUUUGGUUCUCUAGGAAAUUGAGUUCAGGAAAGCUACCAGGAAUAAAACUCUUACUUUUUA
rnacentral:lncRNA from 1 species